rnacentral:lncRNA from 1 species
AUGCACUGCACGGAGUAUGACAGGCUUCCGCUAAACCUCCUCUGGGAACUGAGCAUGUCACACAAAUCCACGCUCUCUGCUCAUUGGAUGCCGAAGCCCCUGCACCCCACAGCAGUCUCCCUUCAAGAGAAUUUUUUUUUUCUGCUCACGGGACCUUAUCACAUGGAGCCCCUGACCUUCCAGAAUGGCAGGCGUUCUCUUUCAUGUUCCUUCCUUCCCUUCCAAUGGCUCACCUCGUUGGGUGCUGUUUCCAUUCCUCAUCAUCAGAGAGUUUCAGGAGCGGGGCCUUCCAGUCAGGACAUUUCAUUCCUGUGCUGGCACCAGCACCACCCCGUCAGAAGGAUCUCCAAUGGUUCUGAUCUCAUUGGAACAUUUCAUUACUCCCUGAGACGUGAGGAUGGUUGCAGAAAUGGGACAGAGGGAACUGUAUCUUGCCCAACUGGAGAUCCACAAGGAGGAGAGGGAAGGCCAGAGCCAGAGCUUCAAGCCCAGGCGCAGCCCUCAAGCAGCGGAGGACACCUGGUAGGUUCAGCUGGUGCUUGCCCACCUUUGGGGAGCCCACUUCUCAGCUGUCCUUCACGGUCUCCCAGAGAGUCCCUGUAGGAUCUAACUGCUGUAAUUGUAUUAGUUUGCUGUAACAGAAUGCCAGAGACGAGCACAGUCUGACCUUUCUGAGGUUUGGUUCUGAUGCCACUCAUAGUGGUGACUUGCUCAUUAACACUGGCUUUGCUGACUUUCCUCCUGUUGCUAUUUCUCUUCUUCAUUCAUCCUACCAGGAAUCACCUUCCAAAAUAAGGUACUUGUGCCAAAUUCCUACCCCAGGGUUGGCUUCUGGGACAGUGGAAACUUAAGACAGGGCUUCAGAAUACAGACAAAUUAGAAAAAUGCCUGUGGCCAGUGGGGGUAGC